GGGGAAUUUUGGACAAUGGGCGCAAGCCUGAUCCAGCCAUGCCGCGUGCAGGAUGAAGGCCCUCGGGUUGUAAACUGCUUUUGUACGGAACGAAAAGCCUCUUUCUAAUAAAGAGGGGUGAUGACGGUACCGUAAGAAUAAGCACCGGCUAACUACGUGCCAGCAGCCGCGGUAAUACGUAGGGUGCGAGCGUUAAUCGGAAUUACUGGGCGUAAAGCGUGCGCAGGCGGUCUUGCAAGACAGUGGUGAAAUCCCCGGGCUCAACCUGGGAACUGCCAUUGUGACUGCAAGGCUGGAGUACGGCAGAGGGGGAUGGAAUUCCGCGUGUAGCAGUGAAAUGCGUAGAUAUGCGGAGGAACACCGAUGGCGAAGGCAGUCCCCUGGGCCUGUACUGACGCUCAUGCACGAAAGCGUGGGGAGCAAAC
rnacentral:rRNA from 1 species